rnacentral:misc_RNA from 1 species
AAGUCGUAACAAGGUUUCCGUAGGUGAAUCUGCGGAAGGAUCAUUAACACGUAUCCAAACGUUAAAACCCCCCCCCGUGAACCUUCAUCCUGCUCUUGUCACCCGCGUAGUUCGCAAUCUCUGAUAAAUCAUAGCCCGGAAAGUUGUAGUGAUUCAGAGACCUCUGGCUACGUGCGAAUUAAACUGUGGGGUUAUUAGGGGGCAUGGGGACCCUUUGGCAAAGCUCCUGCCCGAGUGUACGGUCUACAGGAAUCGUAGAAGCGCUAUCCUUGCACAAUCAAUGACACUUUCCGACACUGACUGCUUGGAGAAACAUUGCCUAUAGAACUACCGCUCGACUGUAAAUGUUCCAAUGAAUGUGAAGCUCAAUGUAAUACAUUGGGUAAAAAAACCGAACAACUGUUAACAAUGGAUAUCUUGGUUCUC